GCAGCAACUGCCGGUUUGAAGCGACAAUUGCGGUGAAAAAAAAUAGAUAUAAAAUGUAUAUUUUAAUAUUAUAAAAGGACCGGCUAUAUAAAGGCCAUCACUUGCUCUCUAACCUUUAUUUCUCACAUUCUAUGCACCCUUUAGUAAGAAGAAGAAAGGAGAACGAAAAAGAAGAAGAAGAAGAGAGGAGAAGGAGAGAAGGGAAGAGAGAGAAAUUGCGGUAGAGAUCGAUUUGUUUGAGAGAUUGCUAGAGGAUUCAGCAAAAGGGAAUCCCAGAUAGCUGUGAGAGGGAUUCCUCGACACCAGGAGAGAUUGUGGGCCUUGAUAUUCAUGGUGAAUGGGUGCCCUUCUCAACCCCAUUCUUUUGAUGAGGAAAGCAGUCAGUUGCAAGUUGAUAAUUUAGAGUAUGAUGACAUGGUUAUGGAUCAGUUGGCUUGUAUUAUGGAUUUGAAUGAUUUCAGCCAUGGGCAUGACUGCAAAUGUGAUGAUUGUACAUAUGGUGGAUAGUAAUAUUGAAGACUGCUGUAUUUGAUUAUCCUUUUGUGUAUAUAUGUGGAUAAUGGUGAAAAAUCAGUUUUUGUUGAUACAAGUUCGAGGGAAAAACAACUGUUAGAAGAGAUUUUGUGUAAAUAUUUGUUUUAGAAUGAAAUUAAUAUAUAUAUAU